AAAAUUCAGACUAUAUUCUGGAAGUACAACUCUAGAAGCCUGGGACCUCUGCAUUCUAGUUCUGCUCAGUUUGAAUAUGGCACUAAUGUGGAAGUCCACGAGUGUCUGUCACUCAUGGCUGGCCACACCCCCUAUUCUUGCACAGGUUCCCUCCCUGCCUGAGGAAGUAUUUCUAACAGAUAUUUCAGUUCACUUCCUUCUCAGGCUGGCCUUGCCUCACUUCUAGGAUUGUUUCUCUAUCCAUCUCCUACACACAGCCAGGCCACACAGGUAUGGACUAACAACACUCUAUGUGGCCUAAAAACCAACCAAAUCAAGUUUCUAUCAAGGCAGAAGAGGCAGGACAGCCAAGGAAUUGAGCAUAAAGGACACUCUACUGUGAGAGCUAGCCUUGAUUUGACAUCUGACAUGGACAGAACUUCCAGCAGGACCUUGAAUGUUAACGCAUUACAGAUGCCAGAACCUCUGUCUACCUAAGGCCCUCAGUGACUUUGUGAAGCAGAGUCUCACCUCCAGGCUGGAAACAUCCUGGACUAUUACAUGAACAAGAAAUAAACUUCACUGUGCUGCUACUUUUAGUAGGUCUUUUUGUUACUGCGAUGUAAAAUAACAAUUCUAGCUGAUGGAGCUAGGGAUCUGCAUGACGGAAACAGUGCUUUAACAAAAUGGCAUACCUGGGAUUAAAGAAGGAAUAAUAAAAUCACUAGCAUUUAUUGAGUGCCUAUUGAAUGCUUUAAAUAAUAACUUACAUAAUUCUUACUAGAUGCCAGGAACUGUUGCAUGCACUUUAUGAAUAUUAACUAAUGUUAGUUCUCUGAACUCUAUUAGGUGGGUACUACCAUUGUUCGCAUUUCACAGAUGGAUAAACAGAGGUAUAAAGUGUUGAAAUAACUUGCCCAAGAUCAC
rnacentral:lncRNA from 10 species